AAUAUGGGGAAAUGCAAGUGUUGUCAAUGUGGAAAUAAAUGAUCAAGACCAACUUAUAGCACUCCAUGUAUUGAUUUAUAUCCACAUAAGCCUGCUGCUGUAUAAUGUAAAUUGUUCAAUUGGACCCAAAAUAACACACACACACGCACACACACACCCACACACACACACAGUCACACACACACACACGCAUGCACGCACACAUGCACGCAAGCACACACACACACACACACACACACACACACACACACACACACACACACACACGCGCGCGUGCACACGCACACGCACACACACCUGGCGGCAUCUAUUGUCCUUGGGUUUGUUUAACCUGCUUAAAGCUAGCUAUUCUCCCAGGUAUUUAUCUCAAGGCUUUCAUGUAGUAGGCCGAUAGAGGCAAAGCCCUGUGAUAAUAUGUCUUCAUUAUCAGAAUUACAGUUAGCAGAUCACAGGGGCCAGUGCAGAAGCAUUGCCCCGGAGCAGGGGAAAUAACACUGAUCUUUCAGGGGGGUCUAUUUUACUAUCCACUUACUAGCUAUUUAGCAGACUAUUUUAGCCAGAGCAACUUGCAAUGGAUUCAGAUUCAGUUCAAUGAGGAGAGGGUGACAGUUAGGCAUCUUUAACACAGGUGGGCUACGGAUAUGGGGGAUCGAACACAGUCCGUAUUUUUGAAAGGGUGUUAAACUCCCCAGUCAUCCCGCUCAACUAUCGGGCUCAGACUCCUAAUCUCUAUAUACAAACGUCUGCUAACGCCAUAGAGUCGACAAUCGUGAGGCAGCCAGAGUUGAUCCUCUUGAUCUGCAGGCAAACGUUCACUAUCCACCCUUGUGAAGGCCUCCCCUGCAGAGCGAGGAAGUGUAUGGAGAACACUAAAAUACUAAGAAGAAAGAAGAAUAAAAAGAUAGGAAUGAUUUGAAAUGACUCUAGAAUGAAUGUGUGAUGUCGCAUGGACACCCUCUCAGCAUCACAGGGUAGCAAACAAUCCCCUUGGCCUUUCUCUCUUUUUCCACCACAGUGCAAUGAAAAACCCUUCGAAGAGCCAAUGAAGGAACACUGGCUCCUGCAUCACGGCGACCUGGCUGUGAUGGUCUGUGUUCAACGUGGUUCUGCGUUCACUCUUUUCCAGGCACUGCUGGAUAAGAACAAGUGGAUAUGCGAUAUGCUUCGUUUGGCCCCCACACCCCUCUGGAAAUGUCCUCAUCUGCACGUCACGUAGCAGGGAAGUGCUGGGGAGAUCUGGCCUGGAUCGGGGCUGAAUGGAACCCAACUUAGACACAAAAGUCGAACAUUAAGGAUAAAUAGAGGAAAGGUGGGGGGAAGGGGAAGGAAACGAGGAGAGGGAGCGGGGGGGAAAUGAGAGACGUUAAUUUGUUUAAUGUUCAGUCUUUUUUUCUAGAUUGUGCGACUACGUGCUUCUAGGCUUUGGAUCGUGCCGGAACCGUCGGGGUAGUGUCCGUUUCCACGCACGCGAUUGAUCGAAGAUCUCUUCCUGUAUGUGCGAAAAGGGGGCAGGUUUUGUCCAUAGAGGUGGCAUUGCACAAUUAGUGGGGCCUAGCCAAAACAUAGAGGGUGGGGCACGCCUUCUGGAGGCCUGACUGGCGGUACGUGACUGAACACACUGACGCACACGCACUGGAUACCCCUCAGCCAACAUGUACACGGACGCCUGUACACUAGACGCUGAACAAACAGACACACACACACACUGGCAUUUAAAUAAUUAACCAAGGUUCUCAAUCAUUACCAUGAAAUUAAGUCCUGGACAUUUGAGAUUCACCUCAAACGACGUUAAUUCGUGACUGCAUGCUUAUAGAGAAGAUAGCAGAGAUAGUAGAUAGAGAGUGAGAGAGAUAGUUAUAACAGGAGAAAUACGUCAGAAAAGGGAGUAAGAUCCCACCUAAAAUAACUGAGGCCUUAAUAUCCCCACCAGACUAAGUAUAGCACCGUAGUAGUUGCAUAUACAAAACUACUUCUCACGCUGUUGCAUGCAAAGCCUUCCUCUGCACCUCACAAGGAUUUGUAUCACUCAACCCUUUCCGAUAGAUGUUUCACUUGGCACAAUAACCAGUAGGCCUGCAUGUCGAGUAUUGUCGUAACAUAACAAAUGAAUGCCGUUCAUCCAGUACAAACUAUGCAAUAGAAAGUUUAUCAGAAUGCCGGAGAUUCCUCUUAAAAUGGUGAUAUUGUUUAUUCGUCUCUGUGAUAUUGCAAGCAUACUUCUACUACUUUAUAGGGGAAUCUUGUGUUGAUCAUCAGGACAACAUUCACUGUUUGGACUGUUGAAGCGUAUGUUUUUUUUUAUAAGCUCACAUGUUCCACAAACAAGUGGAGCGUUUGAAGAGUGGACAUCGACCAAAGCUCAGAAUAAGUGUGUGGAUCAGUGUGGAGCACAAGAAAUUGAAAUCUGAUGGAACAAGCACACACAUGUUUUGACUGCGAUAGCUAUCUUGUGCUGUUAUGCUGUUCUACAUUCCUUAGGGUUUAACAUUGGUUUAAAGCAGGGAAUCAUAACACAAGUAAGUACAUCUUUGAUAAUUUGUGGUUUUAUUGCAUAAGAGUUUAGGAUGAUAACACAAUUAGGUGUCAGCUGAUCAGCGUAACACUUCUUUUUGUUGUCGUUGAGUAACAAGUACAUUUCACUGGGCAAUUACUCACUCACACACACACACACACACACACACACACACACACACACACACACACACACACACACACACACACACACACACACACACACACACACACACACACACACACACACACACACACACACACACACA